AAAGGAAUUGACGGGGGCCCGCACAAGCAGUGGAGUAUGUGGUUUAAUUCGACGCAACGCGAAGAACCUUACCAAGGCUUGACAUAUACAGGAAUAACUAAGAAAUUAGUUAGCUCUUCGGAGUCUGUAUACAGGUGGUGCAUGGUUGUCGUCAGCUCGUGUCGUGAGAUGUUGGGUUAAGUCCCGCAACGAGCGCAACCCCUAAUAUUAGUUGCCAGCGAGUAAUGUCGGGAACUCUAAUAUGACUGCCGGUGAUAAAUCGGAGGAAGGUGGGGACGACGUCAAAUCAUCAUGCCCUUUAUGUCUUGGGCUACACACGUACUACAAUGGCUAUAACAAAGAGAAGCGAGACAGUGAUGUGGAGCAAAACUCAAAAAAAUAGUCUCAGUUCGGAUUGAAGGCUGAAAUUCGCCUUCAUGAAGCUGGAAUUGCUAGUAAUGGCAGGUCAGCAUACUGCCGUGAAUACGUUCCCGGGCCUUGUACACACCGCCCGU
rnacentral:rRNA from 1 species